GUCUUCAAAAGUGAGACUCUAAGUUUUGACACAUGGCGAUCAAAGUUCAUGUUCUCUGAAUUGUACUCAGGUCUAAGCUUUACAUAGAACAAACAAUCAGUGCAUUUUUUUUUGGUUUAAAAACAAUCAGCGCAUUGUUGCAUUGAGUCUAUACUCUACAGCACAUCAUCAAAAAGAAAAAGAUUACGUUUUACCCAUCCAUGUGCAACAAAAAUUACGUUCUUUACAUAUUUGCUAUAAAUGGAGAGAACAAAUGUGAAAAGAGAUCAUGAAUUUGAGUGUAACCAAAGAGCUAUGAUGCAGGUUGAAGAUGUUACCGGAAUAUAUUGCUAUUUCCCAGCUCAAUUAAUUUCAAAAAAUGAAAAAUUAGAGUACUGGUCUCUCGGAUUUUUGGAUGAAAAGAAACCGGUCGAUGAGGGACACGUAUAGGAAGAAAAGUCCGGUUUUGGUGACCGAGAGGGGGUGACGUGUACGGUUGGAGAUGUGUUAGUUGGGUGGCGGGAGA